AAUAUCACAAGAAUUUUGAAUGUAAAGGAUGCCAUCAGAUAAUAACCCAGCAAUGUGUCUGACAGUCCACAAGGGAUCUGAUGUGAGUAUCGGUACUCAAUCAGAGGGAGAUAGGAUGCAAUGCAGCGGGUUAUAGAACAUCUAAAAAAUAUCAAUACUUAAUUACCAAAGGAAUUAGGAUUUCCAGGUUGGUGUAUCAUAAUCAGAUGCUCCGAUC
rnacentral:lncRNA from 1 species